GACGAACGCUGGCGGCGCGCUUAACACAUGCAAGUCGAACGGAAAGGCCUGCUUUCCCUUGUGGAUUGCGGGUACUCGAGUGGCGAACGGGUGAGUAACACGUGAGUGAUCUGCCCCCAACUUGGGUAUAAGCCUGGGAAACUGGGUCUAAUUCCCGAUAGGACUGCAGGGUGGUGCCUGUGGUGGAAAACGAUUUUCUAGUGGUUGGGGAUGAGCUCGCGGCCUAUCAGCUUGUUGGUGGGGUAAUGGCCUACCAAGGCGGCGACGGGUAGCCGGCCUGAGAGGGUGGACGGCCACAUUGGGACUGAGAUACGGCCCAGACUCCGACGGGAGGCAGCAGUGGGGAAUAGGACACAAUGGGCGGAAGCCUGAUGCAGCGACGCCGCGUGGGGGAUGACGGCCUUCGGGUUGUAAACUCCUUUCGACCGCGAGGAAGCCACCUGGUUGGAAGGGUGGUGACGGUAGUGGUAGAAGAAGCACCGGCUAACUACGUG
rnacentral:rRNA from 1 species